UACGGAGGUGGCAAGCGUUGUUCGGAAUCACUGGGCGUAAAGGGCGCGUAGGCGGGGCCGGAAGUCGGGCGUGAAAUCCCCGGGCUCAACCCGGGAACUGCGUCCGAUACUGGCAGGCUUGAAUCCGGGAGAGGGAUGCGGAAUUCCAGGUGUAGCGGUGAAAUGCGUAGAUAUCUGGAGGAACACCGGUGGCGAAGGCGGCAUCCUGGACCGGCAUUGACGCUGAGGCGCGAAAGCCAGGGGAGCAAACGGG
rnacentral:rRNA from 1 species